rnacentral:tRNA from 5 species
UGGGGGAUCGUCUAACGGCAGGACGCCAGACUCUGGAUCUGGCUAUCUAGGUUCGAAUCCUAGUCCCCCAGCCA